ACACCGUUGGUGAAGUGGUUAUCAUGCUUGCCUUCCAUUGGUUGACUAGUGACAGUGACAAUUGUAAGCAAGCGGCUCGGGUUCGAUUCCCGAACGGUGUA
rfam:Gymnopus luxurians FD-317 M1 unplaced genomic scaffold GYMLTscaffold_6, whole genome shotgun sequence.